UACGGGGGGGGCAAGCGUUGUUCGGAAUUACUGGGCGUAAAGGGCUCGUAGGCGGCCAACUAAGUCGGACGUGAAAUCCCCAGGCUCAACCUGGGAACUGCGUCCGAUACUGGAUGGCUUGAAUCCGGGAGAGGGAUGCAGAAUUCCAGGUGUAGCGGUGAAAUGCGUAGAUAUCUGGAGGAACACCGGUGGCGAAGGCGACAUCCUGGACCGGUAUUGACGCUGAGGCGCGAAAGCGUGGGGAGCGAACAGG
rnacentral:rRNA from 1 species